GACCAACCUGCUCCAGGAGGAAUUCGUCAAAUGGAAGGGCUCCCUCUUCUUUCGCUUCAUGGUGGCGCUGGUUGACCCAGUCCCUGCCAUCGCCAGUCUGUGUGAAUACUGCCUGGUCCACCUGCUGCU